UAAGUAGGAAUGUAUAUGGGUAGUUCGUUCGAUGACAUAAAAAUGGAAAUUAGUUCCGCGCCCAUGAUUGUAGUUGUAAAAGGUAACCACCAAUUUUGAUUUUUCCUGGUUGUGUCGCCCAAUACAUCUCCCAGUACAAUGUCGCCAACACGACGAACCCCUAACUGAGUUCACUGCUCCUCUAAAAUUGACGAUUUUUAACAGCCACCUUAGAUGGACGAGAUUUCGUGACUUAUCCGGCAUCAAGAUACCCCCAGUGAUUUUAAGGAUGUACGCCCGAGCAUGUUGUUCUCUUUCAACUUCAGUCGAAUCCUCAUCUAAUCCUGCGAAAUUUGUUUGUAACCAAGCCAUUUUGAUCCGAACUUUGUAAAUUGUCUUUGGAACCGAACUCAAAAGUUCACUACAUACGCCUCCCUAGUCAGCAAACUGAACAGACUUGAUGACUACCAACCCAUCCACCGAUAACCCCAACUAUUAAUACACGUCCUCCAAAGUAAUAGCAUACUUGCAUCAUGAAAGACAGAAUGUGUGUAUCUCGGGUCUCCACCCCUCUGCCAACGCGCUUAUGAGUUUCCAGUCCAACUUAUAGCCUCGACCUACAAGGGUCACACGCCAAAAACUAACUUCCCUCAAGUAUGGAUUGAUUAAUAGUGACGGAGGACCGGGUAGAUUACGAAUAUGACAUUGUAAAAUUUGAUCUUCCACCUAUUUACAUAAAAAAAUACAAAAUAUUAAGUUAAAAUAUAACAAUAAAAUAAAAAAAGUAAACUUUAUCAAAAAUUAUUCUUACCAUUUGCAAUUGAUUGAUGGAAAUGUGCUUGUCAUCAUGACGGAGUAGAGAAUCGAUCAUUGCUAAUUGUAUAGAACACGAAUUAAUUUUUAAUAAACAAUAUUUUUAGAAAAUAUUAAUAAAAAAUCUAAUUUAGAUAGAAAUAGAAUUUUAGUAAUAAAUUUAGGAGAGAAUUUGAGAAAAUUUUGAGAAUGGUUUAAGAAUUUUGAGAGAAUAUUGUAAACAAUUAAUAAGGUUGGGGAGGUCGGAAAAGUAGCCAUUGGGGGGUAAAAACAUGUCCAGCAGGAAGAGUUUUAUUGGUGACACGGAGAAAAUACUUCUAACUGGAAGUAUUUUUUUGGAUUUCCCCCUGAGCUAGAAGCAUUUUACCUAAAUCGGCCUAUUUUCAUAAAUAUUCUAAGAUUUAGCCUAUUCUAAUAAUUUUUUUUUUAAAAUUAGUAUUUUAUGAUAAUUUUAUCCAUAAUAAAAUAUUUAUUGAUAGUUUAGGAUUGGACAUUUUGAAAGUAUAGGUAAUGAAUGUGAUAUACUCCCAUUUGUAAACCUCGGCGUGUGAUUGUCAGUGUCGCAGGUGCGCGUUACUGAAAUCAGACACCCAAAAUUAUUGCCACUUCCAUCUAACAUCUCCCUCUUGUCCAUCAAACAUGUUUCUCGUUUUCAAUUCUAUUCAAACUGAUCUUCCUCUGCACUACUUUCAGUUCGUUUCGUGUCUCCCAUCCCAUCCUUCUCCUUAAAAUGUAAUAAUAAUAGCCAUUCUUUGGCUGCCCUAGUUUUUCUUUUCUAUUUCUGCUAAGAAAAUAUAAAAGAUGAUAUCAACUUCAUCAUCCCAAAAGAAAAACCUUCAAUCCCUUUUAGCCACUAACCUCAAGAAACUCACCAUCACUCCUCCUUCUAAUCAUGAGUUUGAUUUUGGCGAUGUUUUCGGCCCUUUGACUCCUCACCAUCCCAACCCCACCCUCCAUUCACCUUCCUCCACGUCUCCCCCUUCUGCUUUCCUUGGGGAUCCUCAAGUUAUCCACACCAGGUCCCAUUCUUAUGUGGGUCCUUCUCCUCGUUACACCGUCUCUUCUUCCCUCCCUCUCCAAAUCCAAACUGAAACCGAAUACGAAGCCGAGGAACAAGAUGACGAUGAAGAAGAAGAAGCAAAACCCAAGAUUGGGCCUGAGGAUUUUGAGAUCCUGAGAGUUGUUGGACAAGGAGCUUUUGGGAAAGUUUUUCAAGUGAGGAAAAAAGGAAGGAAUGAUGAGGAUGGUGAUGGGCUUUUUGCUAUGAAAGUUAUGAAGAAAGUAACUAUCAUUAAAAAGAAUCAUGUCGAUUACAUGAGAGCUGAGAGGGAUAUCCUUACUAAAGUUGUUCAUCCAUUUAUUGUUCAGCUUAGAUACUCUUUCCAGGUUCCUUAUGCAAUUUACUUUCUCUUUUUAUUUGCAUCUCCAUAAAAUUUGUCCCUUUUACUACUCUUUCCCUAAAUAUAUUCAUGUUAUUUCAACUUUCCUAAAAAACCAUGUUAAGUAUUUUGUAAUUCUGAUCAGAUGAUAUGAGAAAUGAUGUUAGUUCUUGGUCUUAUGUUAAAUACAAUUGAAUGGUUUGGAUUUGAAAUAUUUGGUAUGGUUUGGAUUUGAAAUAUUUGGUCUUUAGGAUUCAGCUUGAUAGCUGAUUGAAGAUCUGAUUUUGUCAUGAAUUAGACUCUUCCUAUUAUAUAAAUUGUCAAAAAUAUUGAAGGGUUUUCUUUUUUACUUUGAAAAAUUCAAGGUCUUUUAUGGUUCAGCAAUUUGUCUGUUUGAACUAUUUAUAUGAGGACUUAGGAUGUUUAUCUCACUAGUCAUUUCCAAUCCAUGAUUAUGUCAUGUAUUUGAAGGUCAUAUUUUGUCAAUGCUUACAGUUGUGUUCUUAUGUAAUUUUACAGACAAAGUCUAAGCUUUAUUUAAUCCUGGACUUUAUAAAUGGAGGCCAUCUCUUCUUUCACCUAUAUCGCCAAGGGAUAUUCAGGUAUCAUGUUGUUUCAACUUCAACUUCAACUAAUUUGUCUGUUUGCAAACUAUUAUUUUUGGUUUUUUUUACAUGUUUCUUGAAUAGUGAGGAUCAAGCAAGGUUUUAUACUGCUGAGAUUGUAUCUGCUGUUUCACAUCUUCACAACUGCGGCAUCGUGCAUCGUGAUCUUAAACCUGAAAAUAUUCUUGUGGAUGCUGAUGGACAUUUAAUAGCCAUGCUCAUAACAUACUUGAAUGCCAAAUAUACAUACCUCUGUUCGUGUUCUUAUGAGUGUUCCUAGUUCCUGAAUCCGUAUGUUGUCCCAGGUUAUGCUUACGGAUUUCGGACUGGCCAAGGAAAUUGAUGAAUCGAGCAGAUCAAAUUCAAUGUGUGGGACAACAGAGUACAUGGCUCCAGAAAUUUUACAGUCCAAAGGUCACAAUAAAGAUGCAGAUUGGUGGAGUGUUGGGAUACUGUUAUAUGAAAUGUUAACUGGUCAGGUAAUAAUAUACAGAGAUUUCCAGUAUGUAUAACUUUUUCAAAUUUUACAAGUUUUAAGUUCGAACUUUCUAACAUGAAAAGCUGGCUCAGGUUUGAUUCGUUUUUUUUAUAAUGCUUGUUCUUAUUAAUGAUUUAUUUCGAGUUGCCUGGUUUUGUUUAAUGCACCAGCUUGAGGUACAUGUUUCAGAUUUACUACUUAGUUGAGCAUUUCUCCCACCUGCUAUUUCUAAUACAAGAUAUCUGUGAAGUGUCUGUAAUCCCUGGAUUUUGACAGCAAUCAGUAUGUGUCUUGCUCUGACUUUUAUUAUUCUUGAAGUACCUAUGUUUGACAUUCGUAUUUGCACAUUUUCAGACAUGUAUAUAGGAAUAUGACUCCUAAUCAGUACUCACACCUAAAGUCCGAGUAGCAUAGGAUUUGUUUUCUGUCCAUCAUUACAUUCAAUAAUUAUAUGAUGGAGUGCCAUGAUUUGGCAGCCUCCAUAUACACAUGCAAAUAGGCAGAAGCUUCAGCAAAGAAAUAUCCAAGAGAAACUCAAACUUCCACCAUUUCUUACUACAGAAGCUCACUCUUUACUGAAAGGGGUACGUACAAGUUUUGGUAAUGUUAUUUUUUUCAUCAUUUUAUCCUUGCUAUAAAAUUGCAAAUGAUUCGAAACCUCGUCCCAAUCUUGCAGUUGCUGCAGAAGGAGCCACCAAGAAGGUUAGGUAGUGGUCCUGGUGGAGGGGAUGAGAUAAAGAAACAUAAAUGGUUUCGGUCAAUCAAUUGGAAGAAAUUAGAAGCUAGAGAAAUUCAACCAAAGUUCAAACCAGAUGUGAGUGGAAAGGAGUGUACAGCCAACUUCGACAAAUGCUGGACUACGAUGCCGGCGGAUGACUCACCAGCCUCCACUCCAACUGCAGGUGAACAUUUUCAAGGUUAUACUUAUGUAGCACCUAACCCUUGGCUUUCUUCCAAGUAAUUAACAUUAGAGUGCUAUAAUAGCUCCUGUAAAUCUAUUGUUUACAGUAAAAGAAAUAUAAAAUAAAAUUGGAUUCCUCUCAUUGGGAGUGUAAUGUAUCUUACCGUUGUACCCAACACUUGUUUUCAAAUAACAAACUCAAUAAAGUUCAAGAUCCUUUCUUUUACCACCUAUGUUACUCCUAACUCUUCAUUUUCCUUGCAGUAUUUAUUACUUUUACAAACAUUAUCAAAUAUCUGAAUCCCAUAUGUAAAAUGUAUAUCUGAUUCAAGUAUGCAAUGAACAUUACUACGUAAUUCGGAUUUAGAUUCAUAUGGUAAUAUGGCUAUGGAGGUGGUUCACUACUGAAAUUCAGCUAAAUCAUGUUUAUUAAUCCACAUGUGAAUGUCAAGAACUUUUGCAAAUCUUAUUUACUUUUAAACUGAAACGUAUGAAACCAUAUGAUGCAACUCAAAGCACUGAAGAACCCUAGGGUUGGGCUUGAAAGAAACCAGAUUCUGCCUUAAAAAGUUAUGAGUCCAAAAGAAAUGAAAACAGAAAAAUUCAGAAAAUGGGAAGUAGAAUUUAGAAUGCAGUUUUAGAGAGGAAUCUUGUUCUCUUUCUGACUUCAUAUCUUUACUUAGAUGCUGAAUUCUAUACAGAAAGCUUGGUUUUAUCAUAAACAAGAUUUUGGAAAGGAUUGGUGCUAAUUUAGAAUUAAAUCAGUACCUUCAUGACAAUUAAUGAUAAUCAAUUAUGAGAAGAUUUUGCCAGGAAUCUAUUAUAGAAGACCUAGUCUAAAAGUUAGUGAAAUAUUAGGGAAUGGGAUAGUAGGUGUUGAAUCCACCAAAAAUAACUUUUUAAGCCUACAUAGUAUAUAAAUAGUAGUAUAAAGUGCAGGGUGGAUUUUAUAUAGACUAGGAUUUCUUAAUUUGCUAUUCGGUUUAAUCAGGUUUUUGCGUCUAGGCAAUUGUUAUGCCCACAAGCGGUCUGUCCAAACUAAAAAUAAAAAUUUAAAUAUGAUAAAAGUAAAAGUAAUUAAAAUAAAAAUAAAUAGAAACAAAAUUAAAUUGAAUAAACCGAUGUGAUGAAAUUAUAGUCUAGGACUGAUAAAUUAGUUAUAGUGAUUGAGAAUGCUUUAAAUUACUAACCCUUCCGUGUAUAAAUUAAUUGUCGGAAUGCCCAACAAUUAAUCCUUACUGAAGUGACCACAAAACACACAUUCACGAUUUAGCUCUUUGGUAGCCGUACGAACUAAAAAGGUCCAACUCAAACCAAUGACUUCAAUCACAUAAGUCGUUUAGAUCCGAUUGCUAUUUCCUUUUAUGAAAUCCAACCAACUAUUUAAUUGGAUACGUCAAUAUUUUCUUAAAUAUAUUGAAUACAACAGACAGUCGACUCGGUAAUUUCAAUUGUACGCCUAUCAACACCAAAUCAAUGAACUCUUUUUGACUUCAUGCUAAUACAACUUUGUGAGACGAUGAUAUCUAUCUCUUAAACUGGAGAAAUAACAAAUACCGUAUAAAAAAAUAAACAUACAGUUCAAAUCUCACUGUACUAAAAAAGGGAUAAAAAUUAACCUAAAACUAAAUCAAACUAAAUCAUAAACUAAAGAAGAAUUAAAAAAUUAAAAAGAAUAUUAUUCAAAAUAAAAAUAAAAAUAACAAAUGUUUAAGAUAGGUGUCUGCGCAAUUGCCCCUUCCUUCUAAUAUCUAUAUAAUACUUAUCAUUAUAUCAAUAAAACCUAAUUAAAAUCCGAGUCUAAAAGAGACGCAGUGCCUUCCCUCACUAAACUUAAUCUAUAAUUAUAUAUAAUAAUAAAUUAAAAACCUAAAAAUUAGAGUCAUGGUUGUGCGCCAUCUCCGUCUUCCAUCCUAUUCACGCAUUAUAUAUAUACUAAAUUAAUAAAACCCUAAAAAUAAACUUAAAAAUAUGAAAAGACUUAAUAAAUAAUAAUAAAAAUAAUAUUAAAAUUUUUAUCCUUUGCAUCAACUCGAGUUUUCAUCUCAAUUAUUUCGUGCAAUCCGCAAUAAUAAUUAUACUUUCGUAAAAGAAUAUCCAUUAAGUGUGAAAGUAGAUAAAAUUCAUAUUCAUAUAUAAUAAAAAUAUGUUAAUUCAACUCAUUAUCAGUGAAUGGCAUAUCUUCCUUCUAGAAAGGUUGAGAUAAGAGAUUCAUACUGAACUCCAAUUACUAUAACCGACAGCCUCGAGAAAAAGCAUAGGAUGAGACAAGAAGCGGUGGCAAAAUGAACUCGAAGUGAAAUGAUCCGACUUGAAAAACCAGGAUCCACCCACUAGAAAGUUAUUUCAUGUUUCCUUGACUAUAAGGGACUUAGAAGGACCUACGUAAUAAAUCUGCUGAUAAUAUUCUUUCCAAUUGCUCGAGAAGAACGUUUCACAUUUUGAAUUAUUCUUAAAACUACUACAACUACAGUAGAGUGAAUGAUAGAGAAAACCAAGAUACUUUUAUUCCUAGUGUUAACACAUGCAUUUAUGGAGUGGCUGUACAUUCUCAACAGACUAACUGCUAGUUAACUGCUACUAAUAACUAACUAACUUUCUUUCAACUACUCUAACAUUCUCCUGGUUCUUUCCUCUCCUAAAGAUCAUUGCUAGCAACAGUGUUGAUUGGAGUGAUGUGUAGAGCAUGUCAAAACUCAGCAAACUGUUUAGGUGGGAUAGGCUUUGUAAGGACAUCAACAACUUGAUUGAUGGAUGGAACAUAGUUUACCUGAAGAGUGCCAUCAAGAACUUUCUCUCGAACGAAAUGAUGAUCAAUUUCAACAUGCUUGACUCUCUCAUGAUGAGUUGGGUUUGCAGACAUGGACACAGUAGAAGUGUUAUCACACCAGACCACUGGUGCCUAUUCUAAGUCAACCCUGAUUUCUCCCAGAAGCUGUUUAACCCAUAGCACUUCAGAUACACAAUUGGCGAAACUACGAUACUCUGCUUCUAAGGACGAUCUGGACACCACAGCCUACUUCUUUGAGCACCAAGCUAUUAGAUUCUCCUCAAGGUAGAGCAUAUAACCAGUAGUGGACCUUUGGUCUUCAAUCGAAGAUGCCCAGUCUGCAUCAGAGUAACCAACAAGCUUGAACUUCCCUUGUGAGUAAUGUAAACCAUACUCUAACGUCCUAAUUAAGUAGCGCAGAACACAUUUAACUGCUCUCCAAUGAUUGUCACUGGGAGAGUUCAUAUAUUGACUUAGUUUAUUUACACAGAACGAUAAGUCUGGUCUUGUAAUACACAAAUAUUGCAGCAUGCCCACAGUACUUUUAUAAAGAUGACCAUCUGGAAAAGGCUGACUGUCAUCAGAGACCACCAGUUUAGGCAUACACACCAUGGGUGUUGGUGUUGCAGCAGCACCUGCUAUACCUGCUUUAUUUAGAAUCUCCUGAACAUAUUUUCUUUGACUGAGAAACAUCCCGUGAGACGUAAUGUGGACUUCUAUGCCAAGAAAGAAAUUGAGUUGACUCAUGUCUUUAAGUGCAAACUUGCUAUGAAGCUGCCUAACCACAGUAUCUAUAGCUGAAUCGGAGCUACCAGUGAUGACUAUAUCGUCUACGUAAGCCAUAAGUAACAGUUGACUGUCAGACGAAGUACGCAUGAAUAGUGAAGGAUCAGCUUUUGAAGCAUGAAACCCGAGCUUGUCAGUUAAAUACUGCUUGAGCGUAUGGAACCAUGCACGAGGAGCUUGACGCAGUCCAUAUAACGCUUUAUUUAGGCGAUAGACCAAUUUCUGACCAGCUGAAUCAAACACCUCAAACCCAAGAGGUUGAUCCAUGAAAAUUUCCUCAGUUAGCUCCCAAUUUAGAAAUGCGUUAUUCUCACGUCGACCUGUCUCAAUUGCCAUUUCUUCAUUAUUGCAACAGCAAGGACAGUUUUGAUGGUAACUGCUCGAACCACCGGACUGAACGUAUCGCGAAAGUCAAUGCCUGCAUGCUGUGAGAAUCCCUUGGCAACCAGCCUGGCUUUGUAGCGAUCAAUAGUGCCAUCUGCCUUCUUUUUUACUUUAAAUAACCAUUUAUAUCCAAUGGUUAUGCGAUGCGAAUGGAGAGGUUUGAAAAAAGAUCUUAGAGUGUUUAGGGUUGGGCCAAGAGGGUCUCUUAAGGAUACAACGUCCAAGUAUUAUUGCGCUCAAGAGCCUGAAGCUCAGCAUGAACAGCAUCGACCCAACACUUAUGUUCCAUGGCUGCAUGAAUGUCAGCAGGAAUGUCAGAACAAGGCAUGAUGCUUAGAUAGGCCUUUGGCUUAAAUAUGCCUGCUUUGCUGCGAGUAAUCAUUGCAUGGGUGUUGUGUGGAAUAGUAGUAGGGAUACUGACUGUUGGUUGAGUAGGAACUAGUGAGCUAGAUGCGUUAGGAAAGGGUUGGAUAUGGACAAUAGAGCUAGAAAGAGGUAAGUGAGAUGUCUGGCUAUUAGAGUUACUGUGAGUUGGUGUAGGGGAGUUAGGUAAACUUGUGAUAGGGGGUUGACACAAGGUGAUUGACUUUGUGGAGAAGUGUCAGAUGACAAGACAAGCAACUUUGAGCUAUAUUGAGGGUGUGGUUUGGAUGAAGUAUGAUUUGUAGGAACACUUGCGAAAGGAAACACAGACUCAUGAAAGGUGACAUGUCGAGAAAUGAAGACCCGACCAUUGCUAGCUUUACACCUAUACCCUUUAUGAAGAGGUGAGUAACCCAAGAAGGUACAAGGGGUAGACUGAAAUAGAAGUUUAUGAUUGUUAUAGGGCCUGAGAUUUGGAAAGCAAAGACAGCCAAAUGUUCUAAGAAAUGAGUAGCGGGGUUUAGUUUGAAACAGCUUCUCAUAUGGAGAGAUAAAGGCUAAAGGAGCUAUAGGUUACCUGUUGAGAAGAUAAACAGCCCAGCUGAAGGCAUCAUUCCAGUAGGUAAUGGGCAUGGACGCAUGCGCCAGCAUGGAGAAGCCUGUUUCAACGAUCUGGCAAUGUUUGCGUUCAACCAAGCCAUUUUGAGCUGAGGUGUAGGGACAUGUAAGUCGUUUUGUAAUCCUAUGCUGAGUAAGAUACUGCUUCAACACUUGAAACUCAUCACCCCAUCUAUCUGUAUGGUUCGAAGUUGUAACCCAAGCGUUCGCUUGGCCUGUUUGUGAAAUUAAGGAAAGACAGUACGAACCUCAAACUUCCUACGCAAAAAGUAGACCCACGUGUAUCUAGUGUAAGCAUCAUUGAAGGCCACAUAAUAUUGAAACCUAUUGGAGGUUAUCGGAGUUGGUCCCCAAAUAUCUGCUACCACCAGCUACAGAGGGGUAGAAUAUGUAGAUACUGAAUUGGAGAAGGGAAGCUUAUGGUCCUUACCAAGGUGACGUGCAACAUACGCAAAAUUAUCUUUAUUGGAAUCAAUUAGCAUAUUACAACUUUGUAAAGUUUUGAGCAGAACACUUUUACAAGGGUGCCCUAGCCUAGAGUGCCACAUACUGAGAGGAAUCUGUGCACUAGCAGUGAAGCAAUGAGCAUUGGGUGGAACUUGAUCAUGUUCUGCAGCAGCUGGUAAAUACAACUUGUAAAGCCCAUAAUGCACCGAGCCAUGAAGAAGCACCUCCCUGAUUUUCAAAUCUCGGACUUGACAUUGUGUGGGCAGGAACUCAAACAUGACCUGAUUAUCUCGUGUAAAUUUAGACACAGAGAGCAGGUUUUUGGUUAUGCCAGAAGAAAACAAUAAAGAUUUCAUAUACAGUGGCCGUGAUCUAGUAAGCAGAGAUGAUUGACCAGAACAUAGUACAGGUAGAGCAUUACCGUUUCCAACAUAGACCUUACCUGGUCCACUGUGAGAUAAACUGUCACCAAUAUUAGAAACUGAGUGAGUAAGGUGAUGAGUUGCCCCAAAGUCAGGGUACCAAGCGUUGUCACCGACUGUUUCAGCUGUGGUGAGAAAAGCAUUAGACGGUGGAGCAGCAGAAGUAGAUGGAGUAGCAGGUUGCAUGAGAUUGCCCACAAAUAGAUUUGUCCAAGACGGUGUAGGUGUUGCUUGAUAAGACCAGCCUGGUGAAGGUGGCCAAGUUACAGGAGACAAUGGAACCAUAGGGGGCAUCAUAGGCACAGAGGGUGGUAUCCAAAGAGAUGAACCAGGACCAUAAACGCACACAUUUGCCUGUGGUGGAGACCUGUAGCCCAUGCUUUUGUAUGAAGCAUCAAACCAAUGGUAACAACGAUCAACAAGGUGUCCCAUUUUUCCACACAGUUGACACUGAACACGGCCUUCAGAAGAACGACCAUGCCCACGACCUCGAGUAGUGAAAGGUCGAUAUGAUGAAGAACAACUGUUGCUGUCGGAGUCGGACGCUUGCUGAGAGACCAAAUUGGUUAAAGUAGGAACCUCAGUCAUUAUAACCUGCUGUUGAGCUUCAAUAUCUAUUAACAUGGCGGUGACAUUCUGAACACUGUACGGAAGUUGGUUAGCCACAAUAAUUGAGAUGACAGACUCAUACUCUGAAGGUAGCCCAUUGAGAAUGGCAGUGACAUGCUCACAUUCACUGAUAAUCUCUCUACAGCUGGCAAGAUUAUCACAGUAUGACUUAAUUUUCAUCAAGAACUCUUUCAUUGUAAGAUCCCCCUUACGUUGUGAAUGUAGGGCACGACGAUAAAACAUCAGUCGAGAUGUAGUUUUACUGCCAUAGAGAGACACAAUAGCAUUCCAAAUUUGGGCACUUGUAUCCAAGCCAAUAAGAUGAGGUAAAACAGAUUGACUCACCAAAGACAAAAGCCAAGAAGCAAUGGUACUAUCUUGCUGUUCAAACCGAGUAAACUCAACAUUUUCUUGAGUCACACCAUCCUCUUCUAUAAUGACUUGAGAUGGUGAAACAGUACUAAGAUCAAGAAAUCGUUGAAGCUUGUAAGUUUUAACAGCCAAAAGGACCUGUUACUGCCAUAAAAGAUAAUUGGAAUCAUCAAGGAGAACACUGAUUCGUUUGGUGGAGAAGAAUAGACUGUCGACAACACCAUUAGCAAAACUAGACGUUGUCAUGAGACUAGCAAAUUAGACUGCAGACGGACUCGACGAGAGACUCAUGAAUCAACUAUCACCCCAGAUGAACCUGAACAACUGAUACUAUGUUGAAUUAUAGUUAAAACUACUAAAACUACAGUAGAGUGAAUGAUAGAGAAAACCAAGAUACUUUUAUUCGUAGUGUUAACACGUGCAUUUAUAGAGUGGCUGUACAUUCUCAAUAGACUAACUGCUAGUUAACUGCUGCUAACUGCUACUAACAACUAACUAACUUUCUUUCAACUACUCUAACAUCACAGGGCUUAUCUUUAUGCACGGUUCAUUAGCUCGUCAUUUCACCUAAUUGUGCUUGGAGUUUUAAGAUGAUUGAGGAAAAUAAUGACAAGUCCCUUUGUGAGAAAUCAAUGAAGAUGGUGAUGAACAUCAUUAGGUUUUCAUCUUUUUCGAUUGCGAAGGCGAGUCUUGGAACAACUGGAUACCAUUCAACACCAACCAAAAACCUCAAACCGGCAACAGAUUUCGAUAUGGUUAUUGAUGAUGAACUGCCACAGCCUUAAUUUUCCAAGAACCAAAGGUCAGAAAAGCUGCAGAGCAGAACGGCGAUGUCAAUGGCAUGUUCGCUGCCUAUAUAAUGAAGGUACAUAAGAAGAACAGAAGCAAUUUUCAUGAAGCAUCAACGCAUUCUCCCUACAUACUUCCACCUCUACCCAUACCAUUAAGUAGAACCAAUAACCCUCUUUAUAAUAUUACUCCAUCUUCACAAUUCUGGGUUUCAGUUUUCAUGUUCAUUCAUGUAUAUCUGCCAUUUUCAUGCUGCUUAGUAUGAAGUAUAACUGUAUAUACGUUAUAUUUUUCUUCUGGUUUUACAAAAUGGUUUGGGAUGAUCCUGAACCCAAUCUCAACUUGACCAAUUUCUCCGGGGAAAAUAAUAGAUGUGAAAUUAUCAUAUUCUGCUUUGCUGCUACUUUGUUUUGUAAAUGAUUUGUGCCUGCAUUUACUUAUCCGUAUUGAUUCAUCCAUCAUUUAUGUUAGUGUUGCUUGUUACUUGUCCAACGAGUUUUGGCCAUAUGAUAUUUUUUAUUUGCACUUUUUACAUGUAUUUAUUAUAAUAUGCAACAAAAUCGAGAUAUUUUUAAUUGUUAAAGGAAUCUAGAAUAUUUUUAGUGUCCAGGAGUUUCAGAAAUUAACUUUUCUCAUUAGAAGAGAGGCAAUUAAAAAAAGAUCAGGGAUGGACUUUAUGGUGAUAUAUCUUAAUCUUUAUCUUCUACCUUUAAAGGAUAAUUGAUAUGGGCGAUAUCAUGCUGAUUAGAAUUUAUCCGAUAAUGCUCAUUGAAAUUAGAUUCACUUCAUUUCUUCCUAGAAGACACAUUUGAAUGUAAAUACAUCUUAUUUCUUAAGGAAUCUUUCAUGAGGAUAGAACUUGUAACUAAAUUGUUUUGUCAACUAGUUGUUUGAGUUUUAUAAAGGAAAGGCUUAGUUAGUAGAGAAUUAAAUGUAUGAGCAAGUAAUUGGUAGGGUUUAAAUCUUCAUUUGUAUUUUGAGUUUAUAGUGGACUCCUCAUUAGACAAGGCCUUCCAAACGUAGGUGUGGCAUUUGACUGUAUGAAAAAUAGAACGUCAAUAAUGAUAAUGUAUCGCAAAGAAAAAGAGAAAGAAAAAAAAUAAAAAACACAGUUAGAACCCUUUCGGGAAAAAAACCACAGGUAAAGGAGAAGAUAAUUCACUAUGUCGAAUUCGAAUGAUGACAAGAGGAGUAGACUAUGUCUAUUUAUAGGCUUGUAAAACCAUAUUCUAAUAGGAGUAUAGUAAGAUUGAAACAUCUUAUUCUAACCAAUAUCAAAUAGAUGGAGUUUAAUAAGAUUUAAAAAACCUUAUUCUAAAAUAAAAUAAAAUAAAGUGUAGUUCUAUGUGGAUUUUACUUUUAUUUUAAUAAGGAUUCGGAUCACUCAAUUCUAACAAUCUCCACCUUGACACGAAUUCUCAAUGAACAAGUUCUUCAUCGCGAACUCUCAACGAACAAGUUCUCCACAUUUUCCAUAAAACCCCUUAAGGGUUUAACUUCAAAAAUGAACACCAAUCAAGUCUAAGCAAUGCUCAAGCUUGGUUAUAGGAAGUGACUUAGUCAUUAUAUCUACAGGAUUUUCAUGAGUACUAAUUUUGUUCACAACAAUAUCACCACAAGCAAUAAUAUCAUGGACAAAAUGAUACUGAACAUCAAUGUGCUUUGUUCUAUCAUGAAACAUUUGGUCUUUUGUAAGGAUGAUGACACUUUGACUAUCACAAAAUACUGUACUAAUUUGAAGGUCUUUAUUGAGUUCAUUAAAGAGUCCCUUCAACCAAAUGACUUUUUUACAAGCCUCAGUAAUCACCAUGUACUCAGCUUCAGCGGUAGACAAAGUGACUAUAGUUUGCAAAGUGGCUUUCCAAUUGAUUGCACAACCUUCGAUUGUAAAGACAUAACUUGUGAGAGAUCUUUUUCUAUCAAGGUCUCCAACAAAAUCAGCAUCAACAUACCCAAUGACUCUAUAUCUAGUUCUUCAAACUGUAAGCAAACUUCAGUAGUACCUCAUCAGUAUUCUUUAUCGGAAUUCACCAUGUAUCUGCUAACUGCAUUGACUGCAUAUUAUAAAUCUAGACGUGAACAAACCAUAGCAUACAUUAGAGAUCUCGCUACACUAUAAUAUGGAACAUAUGACAUGUACUCAAUCUCAUCAUCUGAUUGUGGAGAUAAAAUUGACGAAAGUUUGAAAUGAGCUGCUAAAUGAGUACUAACAAGUUUAGCACUCUGCAUAUUGAACCUGCAAAGAACUUUCUCAAUGUGCCUCGUUUGACUUAGGUUCAAUUUACUUACUUUUUUAUCAUUGAGAAUCACCAUACCAAGUAUUUUCUUUGUUUUUCCCAAAUCUUUCAUCUCAAAUUCUUUACUUUGUUGGGCUUUGACCUUUCUUAUCUCUCAUUUAUCUUUCGCUGCUAUCAACAUGUCAUCAACAUAAAUGAGUAGAUACACAAAAGAACCAUCAUGUUUUUCUUAAAGUAAACACAACUGUCAAAGCUACUUCUUUUAAAAUUAUGAGAAGUCAUAAAUGAAUCAAACCUCUUGUACCAUUGUCUUGGUGAUUGUUUCAAACCGUAAAUGGAUUUUUUCAACAAGCAAACAUAGUCCUCUUUUUCUGAGACUAUAAAACCCUCUAGUUGUUGCAUGUAAAUAUCCUCCUCAUGUUUUUCAUUCAAAAAUGCAGUUUUUACAUCUAAUUGCUUAAGCUCCAAAUCAUGUAUGGCCAUAAUAUCGAGCAAAGCUUGAAUUGAACUAUGUUUUACAACUGGGGAGAACACAUCUGUGAAGUGUACACCUAGAAUUUGACUGUACCCUUUUGCAACAAGCCUUGCUUUAUAUCUAGGUUCUUCAACUCCUAGAGUCUCUUCUUUAUUUUUAAACACCCAUUUACAAUGAACAACCUUUUUACCUUUAGGAAGUUUUACAAGAUUUCAUGUUCCGUUUUUGUGGAGUGAUUCCAUCUUCUCUUAUAUAGCAAGCAUCCACUUUUCUGAGUCUUCACAGCUAACCACCUCAGAAUAAUUAGAUGGCUAUUGGUUUGCAUAUAUAUCUUUAGCCACAUUUAAAGCAUAAGUAACUAGAUCAGCCUAGGUAUAAUUCUUUAGAGAUUUAAUUUCUCUUCUAGUUCUGUAUUUGGCGAUAGAGUAUUGAGGUAAAAAAGCAACUCUAUUAUGAAUUUUUGUACUGGCUAGAGAAGUCGACUCUGUUGUAGAUUCUAGAUUAAUCUGAUGCUCCACCUUCUUUUGAUGUUCUUUAUUGAAAUAGUCUUUAAGAGAUAAGUUAGGUAGCAUAGCAAUUUCAUCAAAAACAACAUCUCUGCUAAUCACAAAUUUUCUAUUUUCAAGACACCAUAACUUAUACCAUUUUACACCAUCUUUAUAGCCAAUAAAAAUACAUUUAAUGGAUCUCUGUUCUAAUUUUUCAUUAUCAACAUGAGUAUACAUAGGACACCUAAAGAUCUUUAAAUCAGAAUAAUUAGUAGGAUUAUCAGACCAUACAUCUUGUGGAGUCUUUUUCUCAAUGGCAAUGGAUGGAGAUCAGUUGAUCAAAAACAUGCAGUAGAGGCUGUUUCGGCCCGAAUGACUUCGAUAAGUUAGCAUUCGACAACAUACAUCGAACUUUCACUAUGAUUGUUCUGUUUAUUCGUUAUGUAAUGCAUUUUGUUGUGGAGUAUGAUGAACUGUCAAGUGUCUCACGAUCCUUUCUGACUUGCAUAGUUCAUUAAACUCAUCAAAACAGAACUUUAAGCUAUUGUCUGUGCGGAGGUAUUUUACUUGUUUUCCCGUCUGUUUUUCAAUCAUAGUUUUCCAAGACUUAAAUAUGGAAAACACAUCAUUUUUCUGCUUCAGAAAGAACGCCCAAACUUUUUUGGAAAAAUUAUUAAUAAAAGUUAGCACGUAAUUAGCUCCACUUCUCAAAGGCAUUCUAGAUGGCCCCCAUAGAUCAGAAUGAAUAUACUUCAAUGUUCCAUUCAUGUUAUGGAUUCCUCUGGUGAAUUGAACUCUCUUUUGCUUCCCAAAUAUGCAAUGCUUACAAAACUUCAGUUUGCAAACUCUUUGCCUAUCAAGAAGUCCUCUUUUGUUCAAUUUUGCCAUGUUAUUCUCACUCAUAUGCUCUAGGCACAUAUGCCAAAGUUUAGUAAUAUCAUCAUCUGACAAGGAAAAGGAAGCGAUAGCUGUGUCACCAGUAACAGUAGAACCCUGCAAAACAUAUAACUUGGCAUUCUUUCUCUACCCUUUCAUCACAACGAUGGAACCUUUAGAAAUAUUCAAAACCCUACUUUCAGCUGUGUAUUUGUACCAUUUUGAAUCAAGAGUACUCAACGAAAUUGAAUUUCUCUUCAAUUCUGGAACAUGUCACAUGUCACUAAUUGUUUUGACAACUCCGUCAAACAUCUUAACUUUAAUCAUUCCAACACCUGUGAUUUUACUAGAAGUAUUAUUUCCAAUCAGAACAACAUAUUCAGACACUGUUUCAUAAGUUAUAAACCAAUCCUGAUUGGGACUCAUGUGGAAUGUACAACCCGAAUCAAGGAUCCACUCAUCACUUACUUUAGAAUUGUUGACAGAAGUGACUAGAAGUUCACCAUCGUUGUAGUUUUCUACAACAUCAGCUUCACCAGAUUUUUUUGGUUGUUUUCCUUUUUGACUCGUAGCCUCUCUUUUGGUCUUGUUUUACAGUUUAUAACACUCAGAUUUAAUGUGUUCUUUCUUCUUGUAGAAGUUACAAGUUUUACCUCUAUUUGAAGACUUCGAUCUACCCUUAGAUUUAUUGCGAGGAUUCUGUUCUUCUGUCCUUCCACGAUCAUUAUCAGCAUUCUGAUCUUAACUCUCACGAACAAUGAGACGCUCUCCUUGAGAGUUGGGUUUAACUACAAGAUGCUUCAUCUUAUCAUAUGAGGUUAAAGAAUUAUAAGCCUCAUCAACUGUGAGAGACUCGUGGCUAUAUAAAAUCGUGUCUCAAAAGGUUUAAUAAGACGGGGCAACAAACAAAGAAGAAUCAACCCUAGUCUUCCUUAUCAUAUUAAACCACCAUGGCCUCCAAGUUUGAGAGAAUUUCUUUAAACAUUGUUAAGUGUUUGUGCGCAAACGCAUCUUCCUCCAAAUGAUGAGCAUAAAGACGCUACUUUAUAUGCAGCUUGUUGUUUACAGUUUUCUACAUACAUAUUUGUUCCAGCGUCUUCCAUAAUGCAUCGGUAGUCUUCUCUUUCAUCACAUCCUGCAAAAUUUCAUUAGACAAAUGCAAAUGUAACUGUGUUAACACCUUUCGAUCCUUAUGCUUCUUCUCUUCCUCCGUCAAUGUUGAAGGCAUCUUAUCUAUCCCUAGUAGGGCAUCCUCCAGAUCCAUCUGUACAAGAAUUGCCUACAUCUUUAUCUACCACAUCGCGAAUUUGGUGUUGCGAUCCAACAGUAAAAUUUCAUACUUCAAAGAUGCCAUUACCGUGAUCGAGAUGAACAAUCUAGAAGCUUUAAUACCAAUUUAUGAAAAAUAAAACGUCGAUAAUGAUAAUGUAUCACAAAGAAAGAGAGAAAGAAAAAUAAAGAACACACAAAAUUUUACGUGAAAAUCCUUUCGAGAAAAAAACCACUAGCAGAGUAGAAGAUAAUUUACUAUGUCAAAUUUGAAUGAUUACAAGAGGAGUAGACUAUGUCUAUCUAUAGGCUUGUAAAACCAUAUUCUAAUAGGAGUGUAGUAAGAUUGAAACAUCUUAUCCUAAUCAAUAUCAAAUUGAUAGAGUUUAAUAAGGUUUAAAAAACCUUAUUCUAAAAUAAAAUGAAAGAAGUGUAGUUCUAUAUGAAUUUUAAUUUUAUUUUAUUUUACCACUGUAUUUUAUUUAAAUAAGGAUUUAAGUCACUCAAUUCUAACAGACUGCGUAAAAAUCUGCUCGUGUUCAUUAGCUUUCUAUUAUUUAUACUUAUUCUAACAUUAGUUGAAAUUAUAUGGGUAACAACUUAUUAACAUCAACGCUUGCAAUUGGUAUAAGAUCCAUACACCAUACCUAAUUGGUGAAGUUUCUAUUCUUGAUUGUUAAAUAAUGGAGAGUGUGAAGGAAGGAAGCUUAGUAACCAAAACCCCUUUGUUAGACGAGUUUGAUUAUACAUAUUGGAAAGCUUUCAUAAAAUCUUUAGAUAAAUGUUUGAAAAGUUAUUUUGUUUGGUUGGCAAUCUCUUGUUUUCACAAAUGAAUAUGAGACUUCGAACUAUAGAUAAAAAUAGAGUUGUAAGUUAUAACUCAGAAGAUCUUGGAUGCUAUUUUUAAUGGAGUAGACCUCUAGGAAUUAUGCACAUCUCCAAACGUGUCUUUAUUUGAGAAAUUUGGACAAUUCUUUUAAUCACUUGUGAGGGAGCCAUUGGUGGGAAGCAACCAAAGUUACAAAUGCUAAUACCGAGUUUGAAAACUUAAGAAUGUCUAAGAAUGAAACACUGUUAUUUUUAUGCAAAACUAUGUCACAUAACUAAUUAAUUAUUUACCCUUGGUGAGAAAUAUUCAAAAGCAAAGGUGUUGUGUCUUAGCAAGAGAGAUUCUCAUUCAAAGUCACAAUCAUUGAAGAGGCCAUGGGGACAAUUGAUGUAGCGCUAUGCUAUUUUAUAGGAUGAAUGAUCUCAAAUGAGAUAUUUAUUUAUAGGUGGAGAUACAUUCAUAUCAUAUCGUUCAACAAAACAAUAUUAGUUUUGACCUCUUUAAAUCAUGUUGAAAUAAUAGUAAUGCAUGAGACUAAUUGAGAAUAUGUUUAACUAAGGUUAAGGCCAAUACUAAUGACCCAACACAUCUAUCUCCUUAAGAAAAGACGCCAAUUAUCUUAUAUAAAGAUAAUUAGUGUAUAUCUCAAUUAAAUGGAGAAAAAAUAAUAGAAUUAAACAUAUUUUUCUAAAAUUGUUUUUUUUUCUAUCAUUAUCUUGAGAAGAAAGUUAAUAUUAAAGUUCAACAAAUUCAUCCUAGUGUUAAUUUGGUACAGGUGGUUACUAAUCCAUUAUCAAUUACAACAUUUGAAAUACUAGUACAUAGAAUAUGAAUGCCUCGACUAAAAAAUAUUAAGUAAAACGAAUAUCCAUUAGUUGAAUUCAUAUUAGUUAUCGGCUAUAUAUGUAUAUACUAUUAUUUAAGCUCCUAAUUUAGUUGGUGUCACAAGUCAACCGGGUGCCAACUCAGUUAGGAAAAUUACGAAAAUACUAUUCCGUAAUUAAAAUAAGUUAUAUUAUUCAAAGGUAUUUUAAUCUUUUCAUUUAAAAAGAAAACCAAUAUAAUUAUGCAUAUAAUAGGAUUUGAAUCUACACCAAUUGUAUUAGUAAAAUCUUUAAAUUACCACUUAAUUAAAGCUUUAUUUUAAUAUUUUUAUACAUUUUAAUUGUAUUAUACACACUUUACUACCCCAUCAAUUGUAUACAUAUUAAUAAUGUAUAUGAUUAUGUUGGUGUCAUAAGUUAACUCGACAUCGAUUCAAGAUUGAUGACAACACGAUGAUAAACAAUUCAAUCUAAUUUUUUUUAAUUUUAAUAUUGUACAUAUUUCAUGUGUUAUUAUUUAUUAGUUUCAAAUCAUUCGUUUCAUUAUUUAUUUUAUGUUGUUUUGAAACACAAUUUUAUGUUUUAAAUUUGUGGUCUUCACGUGUAAUAGGAUUUUCAAUAUACAUAAUUUUUUUUUGGCAAAAUUGAAUUCUGAUUUUUGUUAAUUUAAAUAUGUUGGAAAAAUUGUAAUUUUUUUUGGAAAUUUUGAGGUAUAUUCUCGAUUGAUAAAGGUGGAGAGUUGAAUCAUAAAAUUAUGGUUUUAUAUUCUAUUCCAUGAGACAUUUACAACGGUAUAUCAUAUGCUCAAAAUAGUUGAGUGAUGAAUGAAAAAUUGAUGCUCAAAGUAAGCUACUUGCACUACAACAAAACAGGCGUAUAUAUAUGAUAUCAAGUGUGAUCCCACAUUAGUUAAAUACCAAGUGUGAGAUAUGUAUAUAUAUGAUAACCCACUUGAAAGGAAAUUGAAGGACUAGGCUUGAAAUCUUGGGGGUGCAAAUCUAAAUUCAUCAGGGUUGAGAUGCACCUAUACGACGUGAGUAACGUGAAAUGUCUAGACACACACUUAUAAAAGCCUUCAUAUUAAAUACUUAUAAAAGCCUAAAGAAUUCUUCAGAAUUUUUUACACACACUUUCAUCGAGUUUAAUUUGCUCUCUAAAAUUCUUCUCUUUUUUCUCUCCAUAUUUUUCAACGUUUCGGUAAUAGAAAAAGGCAAAGUUUGUUCGUUGAUCACUGCAGAGGUGUUACUGCUUCGAUCAUCUUGUUGUUGUAUCCUGGGAGACAAUCGACCAACGUUUCUCCAAGUACCAUAGGAGCGGCCGAAUCUGUCUUAAGGAAACUAUGUAAAAUAGGCCUCAACAUCUAGUAAAACUCAAUUCUUUUAUUCGAUUUCUGAUUUUUAUAAUCUUAUUUAUUUAAUUGAUUUUUCGUAUCUGAUAUUUUAAAUAUAAAUAUUUAUUUUGUUUUUAUAUAAAUAUCCAUUUAUUUAUAUUUAUAUUUAUUUACUAACAUGUUUUAUCCAACAAAAUAUCCUGAGAAUGAUUAAAAAUUUUUGAAAACAAUUCUUUUCAUAUUUGUAUAUUUGAUAGAUAAUAGUAUUAAUUCAUAUUCAAAUUUGAAUAAUAAUACUUAAAUAAUUUAUAAUGAAUAAAUGAUUUUAAUUUUUUUCUUUUUACAUAUUCAAAUUCAAAUAAUUCAAAAAAUACAAAUAUUUAACUUGUUAUCCCACUGUAUCUUCCUUCAAACCAAGCAUACCCAUGUUUACUUCAUAAAAUGGAGGCUCGUGCUGUAAAGCAAAACAGAAUCAGUUGAACUUUGCUCAUUUAGGACCAUCAACUAUUUAGAUAGAACAUGAUAUUAUGUUUUUGUGGAAUAAUUUCUUCACAUGUUAGAAUCAAAGUUCCAUAUGCUUUAGCACGUCCUUUUAUUUUAAUCAAACUCUUUAUUUUUCAUAAAUUAUUCGUAUAUCAGAUUUUUUAUCCAAUACAUAUGAAACAUAAAUAUAAUCUUUCACAUGUAUAAAAAAAAUGGUAAUCAACCAUUUCAAAGAGUUUUCUUUAAUUAAUUAAAAUUUUAAGAGAUAAGUGUACAUAUUAAUUUUUUUAUUCAAAUCGUGAUAGAUAAUCACAUUGGAGAACUUCUCCCAUAAUCCUUUCUAGGUUUUUAAAAUAGACCAAAAUAUAAUUUUUUCUUCUAAAAAAUGAAAUUUUGUUGAAUAGACCAAACCUCGAACAAUUAAAGGUAUUGUUCUCAUAUUGAGAUUUUAUCCUCAAUCUCUAUAGAGAGCUAUGUAUGGUUAACAAAUGAGGUGUUCAGUUGGUGAUACCUACAAAACUCGAGAGAAGUGUUAAUAUUGUGCAUAAGACUAAUUUUGAAAUUAAUUGAGCAGAGGGUAACUCAAACUACCAACUUGAGGUUUAUAAAACCCUUACCUACAACUAUGGUACCACUUAGUUCAAAGUAGCAUUAUUUUCCUCAACAAGUAACCUAUAUGCCAUAAGUCAGGGUUCAAACGCCACCAAAGGCGAAUGCUCACAUCCCUUUAAUGGGUGGUUGUAAGCUCAUGUAUGGUCGAGGUGUUCCUGGCUCUGUGAACCAUACCCUUAAAGCAAUCGCUCAAGGUAAAUUGGCUCUAGACAGAGCAUGGGAGACAAUGCCUUUGAUUGUUGGAGGUAUAGUUAACUGUCUAACGAACAACACUUCAAAAAUUUCUCUCAAAUGAAUCAACCUCACAAUAAAAUUGAUUCUCAUGCUUAAAUUCAAGUUCAAUUAUUUGUGUUUGAAUUUAAAUUCUAAAUUAAAAAUUUGCAUUACUACUUCAAAUGAUUAUUAAAAUACUCAAAUUCCGUUCUCAAAUUACUUCACUUUGAAUGAACAAUAAUCAAGUCAAAUUCUUUUCUUUUUCAAUUUAAACUUACAUUAUUUAAAGAAUCAAAAUGACUAAAAUCUUGCAAGUAAAAAAAGCUAUCCGUAGUCACAAUUGAAAUAACAAAGUUGUCAUAAAUUGACAUCAAAGAACAUGAUUUGAGUUUUGUACAUCUUAUUUCCCUGUCAUUUGUAAUGAUAGUAAUAAUUAAAGGGAAAAAAAAUAGAGCUAUCCACAACCAAAAAGCAUUAUGAGUCGGGUAAUGAAAAAAAUGAGUAUUCUAAUUUCUAAGGUAGCGUGCUUUAACAGGAUAGCUACUGGUCCCUGGUAAGUAAUCCUUUCAGGUGGCGGAGCCUACAUGCAUGUUUCCCUAAAAUUUUAAUUUAGGAAUUUUAUAAUUUAUAAAAUUUUAAAUUAAUAAUAAGAAUAUUAUAUUUUGAUUUUAAAAAUAUUUUCCAUACCGACAUUACCUUUCUAUUCUUUCAAACAUAACUCCAGCAAAAUAAGUUAGUCUAAUAAAAAAACACAAUUUUGAAUAAAAAUUAUAGAUUCUUCUAAGAUUUGUUAAGUCAUAUAAUCAUAAUAAAUUCAUGAUUUUUAGUAAUAUAAUAUAUAUAUAUUUGAAUAAAUACUGGAUCUUUAUUAUCCCGGGCCCGAAAAAACAAAACAAAUAAAACAAGCCCAAACAAAUCAAAAGAGUCCAAAACCAACCUAAAAGAAGCAAAAACAAAACAAACACCACUGCCUGGGAAAGCAGCAAAACAGAAAUAUCAAAUAUCCUUUCCAUCCAUCAGCAAAAUUCAGAAAUCACCUACUCCCUAGAAACAACUUUCCCUCUUGAAAUUCCAAACGUUACUCUUCACUAAAAACUCCUCCCAUUUCUCCCUCAGUAAUCCGACUCCUUCUCUCCCUCAGAUGUUCCGUCCACUGUCGCUCUUCAUCCACCAUAGUCCUAAUCCCAGGAGGAACCCCAUACAUCAGAUAAGUAGAGACUCCCUUUUUAAUUCCUUCGGUAGCUAUGGUGUGAGCCACUUUGUUGGAUUAUUUGUUGAUAAAAUGAAAAGCACAAUAGUUGAAGCUUAAACUCCUGUGCUUAGAGUCUUUGAUAAAUGCUGCGAUUUCAGAUCUGUCCUCUUUUUCCUCAUGCAGUUUACGAAUCACCGUCCUAGAGUCUCCCUCAACUUCCACUUCACUCAGCCCUAGAUGAAUGCCCAGUUCAAGAGCCUGGAGGCACGCCAUCGCUUCAGCCGACGGUAUGUCCGCAUUUAAAAUUGUACCUGAGCACUUCCGCCUUUUCAUUUCUGACUACUAAUCUUGAGCAUGAUUCUUUUCAGUUUCUGUUGAAAGCAGCAUCAAAGUUUAUUUUGACUCGUGAUCCAACCGGAGCUUCCCAUCUGACCAAGUGGAGCCUUCUUUUAGGUACGAAAUGAUUCAAAUCAUCUAACUCCUUUAGAUAGUUUAAAACAAAAUCUGCUACCUGAGACCCCGAUCUAGAUUCCCCUUCAUGUAGAAACCUAUUUCUGUUGGCCCAAAUCGCCCAUAAUGCGCAAGUAAUCAUCCUACACUUGGAAAUAGAAUGAGAUCCAAACAUUGUUAUUAGCACUUCUAGAAAGUCAUAAUUUGCAACAGAACUAGGCCAAAAAAUAUUUAAUUUCUCCCAUAUUUCCUUUGCAACAGGGCAGUCUCUGAACAAGUGCUCUCUCGUUUCCGCUCCCGUAUGGCAUCUUCUGCAAGUGGCAAACCCUAUCAACCGUCUAUAGUGUAGAUUACUAUAGUUAGGCAGAUAGUUACGAGAGCAUCGCCAAAUUGUAAUUUUAAUUUUAGAGGGCAGCUCUAGAUUCCAUAGGCGCUUGUAAAGUUGUUUGUAAUUAAUCUGUAAUUGAUUCUGACCUUCAUGUAAAAGAUACUUGUAUCCACUUCGAACCGAGUACUCACCAGUCGGCUCUCCUCUCCAAACAGUUUGAUCCUUAUGCGAAUUCAAGGACAAGGGAAUACACAAAAUACUCUCAGCCUCCUUCUCCGUAAAGGUACUAGUAUCAAUCAGUUCUGCAACCUUUAUCAACCCUGAGUUAGGAUUUAAAUUCUGAAUUCUGGCUUCCUCUAAUCUAGGGACCCAAGUGUCUUCCCAAAUGGAUACUUGCUGCCCAUCACCAAUCUGCCAACCCAAUCCUUUUUGAAGGAGUCCCUUGGCACCCCAUAUACUCAACUAGGUAAAAGAAGGUAAAUUGUCCAACCUAGAGUUUAAAAAAUCAGAAUCUUUAUAAUAUUUCGCCUUCAAAGUACGCGCUAGUAACGAAUUAGGAUUACAUAAUAAACGCCAUCCAUGUUUGGCCAAUAAUGUAAUAUUAAAAAGGCUCAAAUUACGGAAACCCAUACCCCCAUCCUCCUUAAUCGCACUUAAAGCCUUCCAAUCACACAAAUGCAUACCUUUCUUUCCAUGCCCUUUUUGCUACCAAAAGGAACUCAUUAUGUUUUCCAGCUCCUAAAAUAAGGAUUUUGGCUAAAGAAAACAUGCCAUCGAAUAAGUGGGAAUUCCUUGCAAAACAGCUUUUAUAAAAACCUCUCUACUCCUUGGGAAAUAACCUUUACACUCUAGCUGUUUAUCUUCAGUUUCAGCCUAUCUUUCAUAUUUUGAAAAGCUCUCUUCUUUUUUCUUCCCACCCUAUUUGGAAGUCCCAAGUACUUCUCCAUAUCUGUCUACCAACGAACAUUCAGCUCUUGGAACACCAAAUUUUUCUCCCGAUCAGACACAUUCGUACUGAAGAAAACUAUGGAUUUUUCAAAAUUGACACACUGCCCCAAACAAGCCUCAUAUUCCGAUAAAAUUUCUUUGAGCGCUUCUAUCCCCCUACUUGAAACCUCACCAAACAGAAUGUAAUCGUCUACAAACAUAAGGUGGGUAAUUGUUGGAGAAGAUCUACACACCUUAGCCCCACAAAUCUUUCUUUCCUGACUUGCCAAUCUCAUUAACGCCGACAAUCCUUCUCCAAUAAAAACAAAUGAGGGCUUAAUGGAUCACCUUGGCGCAAUCUCCUAGUUGCCUUGAAACUUAAUCCCUCCUCUCCAUUAAUUAAAAUAGAGAAUUGAACGAAAUUUAAGCAGUGAAGAAUGACAUCAAUAAACAUAUCUGCAAAUCUCAUUUUUGACAUCACGCCUCUUAUAAAUGCCCAUUCUACUCUAUCAUAGGCCUUACGCAUAUCAAAUUUCAAAGCCAUGAAAUCUUUUUUGUCAGUUCUUUUGUUUUUGAAAGAAUGAAGUACCUCAUAUGCCAGCAAUACAUUUUCCGUAAUAAGUCUCCCAGGAAUGAAUGCACUUUGGGUUGCAUCAAUACAAUCGUCCAGCACACCCUUUAGCCGAUUGGCCACUGUCUUAGCGAUAAUCUUAUAAAUCACCGUACACAGGUUGAUGGGACGAAAAAUUUUCAGAUUCAUAGGAUUAACAGUUUUUGGAAUCAGCACAAUUUGGGUUCUAUUAAUUUCUUCCAACGAUUUUCCAUGAUUCAAGAUAUUCAAACAAAACUCACUAGUAUUUUUACCAAUAAUAUCCCAAUACUUUUGGUAAAAGACUAGUGAGAAACCGUCAGGCCCAGAAGCUUUUGUAGGCCCCAUCCCUUUCAGCGCCCCCACAAUUUCUUCCUUUGUGUAAGGAGCCAUCAGUCGUUGAUUCAUACCGUCAGAAAUACACGUUUGAACUCUAGAUAGGAUAUGCUCCAAAUUUCCAACCCCUUUAGAUUCAAAUAAAUCCAAAAAAUAGGCACGUGCAAUAUUCUCCAUAUCCUUCCCACCCGUAGCAAGAGAACCAUCACCUCUUUGUAAUUCACGAAUUCGAUUGUUACGCCGUCUCUAUGACGCAUAUCUAUGAAAAAAGAAGGUAUUUUUAUCCCCCAUCUUCAAUCAGUUAACUCUUGCUCGUUGCUCCCAGUACCGUUCCUCCUUGUCUAUCUCCAUGUUCAAAUGUAACUUGACCUCCACCAGUUCCGCCAAAUUCCCCUCCGAUCUAUCAUCAUGAUUUAGUUCCUCAAGUCUUCUAUUAAAUCUUUCCACUUCCUUUCCUCUGUUUAACUUUAUCUUUCUAGCCCAUUCCAUCAAUCCCGUGGAUAGAAUUGACACGCGGCUAAGGAAGGAACCUGAACUCCCAAUCCAUAGCUUCCGAAUCACUUCUUCACACGAUUCCUUUAGUAAUAUAAUAUUAAGCAUAAAAUAUUUAUAUAAAUGUUGAUAUAUUAAUAAUUAUUUUAUUGGUAUAUUCACUGUGCUUUUUUUUUUCUUUUACUACCUAGUAAAAACUUUCUAUACUGAGAAAGAGAUAAAUAUCUCUUUUCCAAAAGAUAAAGGUCUGCCCAUAUAACCAGACAUCAAAAUUUAGAAUUAUAAAUGUCUACCAUUCAUUAAAAAGGCUUUAUUCCACCAUCCAAAUUCACAAAUUUUAGUGAAGAAAAAACAACAAAAAAGUUUAGCGAAGAAAAUAUUCCCUUUUUAUCCGAUUCAAGGUCUUCACCGUCAUUAGCAAGGGUUAAACUUUUUUAUCACGAGAGUUCUCUGAAAAGAUAAAUAGUUAGUCACGUAAUGUGCUACAUUCUUAUAAGUAGGGAUCAAAUCUCUGACCACAUAAGUAAUGGACUAGAUGAGUUACUACCACACGACUUUGCCACACCUUAUAGUUAAAAAAUAAAAUUAUUCAAUAUACUAUAAUAAUAUAUAAAAAUGUUUUUUAAUAAUAUGUAAAAAUAUAAGGUAUAAUAACUUAUUUGACCUUCUAACUUUACAAAAAAAAUAUUUUUAGUGCUCUAUAUAUAUUUUUUAACAUUUUUUAACCAUUGAACUUGCAUUUUUGUCAAAUCAGCUCAAACUAAAUGGAAAAGACAAUUUUUUUUAAGACUUUGUUGGCAUUGCAUACAUGUGGAUUAUCAUAUAAAUGAUAUAAAAUCUAUUUUCAAAAAUUAAAAAUCAUUAAAACUAUUAAAAAAUAGUUUUUUUUAAAUUAAAAAAAUUAAUUAAAUAUUGAUAUAUCAUCUACCUAAUAAUUACAUGUAUACCAUGUAAACAAAGUUAAGUUAAUGUUUUCGUUCAUUUUGAAAUAAUUUGAUAAAAAUAAAAAUUUAAAGGCUAAAUAGACGAAACUUCAGGAGAGUUAUAAAAGUUAACAUGACAUUGAAGCACCUAUUGCAAAAGACGGACAAAUGAACAAGAAUUUAGCACAAGAGCAAUAGCAACAGAAAACAAGACAAAACUAACAAGACAUGACGGUUUUUUUUACUUUUACUUUUAGUCUCUACAUCAAAAACCAAAGGUUUCAGAUUCAGUCCCCUAACUUUAACAUUUUCUUUUUCAUGUAUCAUUUCUCAAGCAACAGUGACGAUGUUAGUGCCAUCUCUGUUGCUGAAGCUUGGUAGCACCUGAAAAGCAGAAUGCCUCGAUGAUGAUGAGGGAUCCCCUUGAUCAGAUUGUAAAGACAACUUUAAAUUCAACGGCGGACCCUCGGUGACUGCAUUCAAGUUCA
rnacentral:lncRNA from 1 species